rnacentral:rRNA from 1 species
AGUAACGCGUGAGGAACCUGCCUUGGAGAGGGGAAUAACACUCCGAAAGGAGUGCUAAUACCGCAUGAUGCAGUUGGGUCGCAUGGCUCUGACUGCCAAAGAUUUAUCGCUCUGAGAUGGCCUCGCGUCUGAUUAGCUAGUAGGCGGGGUAACGGCCCACCUAGGCGACGAUCAGUAGCCGGACUGAGAGGGUGACCGGCCACAUUGGGACUGAGACACGGCCCAAACUCCUACGGGAGGCAGCAUG